CCGCCGACACCUCCGCUUCCUGCCGAACCUUGGGAUGAGUGGCUGAACCAGCGCCAGCGCAGCCUGAGAAUCUGCUUCACAUCAAAUUCCUUCUUCGCCGACAUUCUCCUCUGCCUUUGGAGACGAGGGCAAUAGUAUGUGAUGGAGAGCGGUCCUCUGCAGCUUUUGUUCUAAGCAGCCUCCCUCCAAGUCUUAUCCUCUGCCUUCCUGCCUCACGUUGCCUCCUGUGCUGCCGCCACUGCCGCCGCUGCUGCCGCUGCUGCUGCUGCUGCUGCGCCGCUGGAGCUGAGUUAAUGCACAUGCAUGAUCUACACUCCCUCCCCUUUGCCUUCCAUGUUUCUCUCUACCCCACUUCUCUCUCUCUCUCUGCCUGUAUAUCCUACACAUAUAUACACACUCAUACACGCACACACACACACACACACACACCUAUGUAUGUACGUAGAAGGUAUGUGUGUGUGUGUGCACGUGUGUGCACAUGUGUGUGUGUGUGUGUAGGUGUGUGUGUGUGUGUGUGCGUGUGUGUGUGUGUGUGUGUGUACACGUGCGAUAUCAGGUCUGUCAGCUUUCACUACAAGAAAGGUGGGGUAUGAUAGUGCCAAGAUGAUGAGGUCACACCAUAACAAAGUAAAGCAUUGCCUGCUGAAGACUACUAUGUAGUACUAGCAGCAAUCUUGAGCUCGCCAUACAUAGUAUGUUAAUGUAUUUGUGCAUGACCCAUAUUAUGUAGCCGCCACAACAUUAUUUACACCACCCUGGUCAAUCACUGCAUUUUUGUAACUCUCAAUGAGACUCAUGCACCGCACCACAUCAAUUGCUUCAGGUGUCUCAGAUAUAAAGGCUGCAUUCUCCAGACAAGCUCCUUCCUCAGAUGUUCAAUAGGAUUUAGAUCAGGGUUUUUGGGGUCAUUAACCUGUUGGAUGACCCGUGACCUUCAGCAGAGACCAAGAUUUCUGAUUCUGCUAGGAUUUCUUCUUUAACAGAAGCAGACCAACAGUUUUGUUCACAUGUGGAUAAAUAUCCACUCACCAAAAAUGCAUCAUGCAUCUGUACACAUCUGCUGUGACUCUCGCAUCAAACACAAUCCCAUGGGGGAGUUUCAGUGGGGUUUCAGGGGGGAAGGCGGGGUGGUGGGUUUGCUCUGUAAAGGUUACCAUGCAAAUAAAUAAUUUCUCCUUUGUUGUCUUGGAAGCCCCCUUAUGAGAACAGUAAAAAAAAAAUAAACAUUUUAAAACA